AUUGAACGCUGGCGGCAUGCUUUACACAUGCAAGUCGAACGGCAGCGCGGGCUUCGGCCUGGCGGCGAGUGGCGAACGGGUGAGUAAUACAUCGGAACGUGCCCAGUAGUGGGGGAUAGCUGGGCGAAAGCCGGAUUCAUACCGCAUACGACCUGAGGGUGAAAGCGGGGGAUCUUCGGACCUCGCGCUAUUGGAGCGGCCGAUGGCAGAUUAGCUAGUUGGUGGGGUAAAGGCCUACCAAGGCGACGAUCUGUAGCUGGUCUGAGAGGACGACCAGCCACACUGGGACUGAGACACGGCCCAGACUCCUACGGGAGGCAGCAGUGGGGAAUUUUGGACAAUGGGCGAAAGCCUGAUCCAGCAAUGCCGCGUGUGUGAUGAGGGCCUUCGGGUUGCAAAGCACUUUUGGCGGGAACGAAAAGGACUGUGCCAAUACCACGGUUCGAUGACGGUACCCGCAGAAUAAGCACCGGCUAACUACGUG
rnacentral:rRNA from 1 species